UACAGAGGGUGCGAACGUUGUUCGGAAUUACUGGGCAUAAAGAGCGCGCAGGCGGUCGUUCAAGUCGAGUGUGAAAGCCCCCGGCUCAACUGGGGAGGGUCAUUCGAUACUGAUCGACUGGAAGGCAGGAGAGGGAAGUGGAAUUCCCGGUGUAGUGGUGAAAUGCGUAGAUAUCGGGAGGAACACCAGUGGCGAAGGCGACUUCCUGGCCUGUUCUUGACGCUGAGGCGCGAAAGCUAGGGGAGCAAACAGG
rnacentral:rRNA from 1 species